AGUGAACGCUGGCGGUAGGCCUAACACAUGCAAGUCGAACGGCAGCACAGUAAGAGCUUGCUCUUACGGGUGGCGAGUGGCGGACGGGUGAGGAAUACAUCGGAAUCUACUUUUUCGUGGGGGAUAACGUAGGGAAACUUACGCUAAUACCGCAUACGACCUACGGGUGAAAGCAGGGGAUCUUCGGACCUUGCGCGAUUGAAUGAGCCGAUGUCGGAUUAGCUAGUUGGCGGGGUAAAGGCCCACCAAGGCGACGAUCCGUAGCUGGUCUGGGAGGAUGAUCAGCCACACUGGAACUGAGACACGGUCCAGACUCCUACGGGAGGCAGCAGUGGGGAAUAUUGGACAAUGGGCGCAAGCCUGAUCCAGCCAUACCGCGUGGGUGCAGAAGGCCUUCGGGUUGUAAAGCCCUUUUGUUGGGAAAGAAAAGCAGCAGGUUAAUACCCCGCUGUUCUGACGGUACCCAAAGAAUAAGCACCGGCUAACUUCGUG
rnacentral:rRNA from 1 species